UGUGCAGUAGGCUUUUCCCUGGGCACCCGCGCCACCGAAAUGUUCGGCCCGGCUCCAAAAAAAGCCCCCCGGCUGUAGAGCUGGUGCUUAAAAAGGUGCAUCUGCUUCCCAGCUGGUUCCUGGCCCGGUUUGAUUUGAACGUGUGGUAGGGCCUUCCCCAGAGCCAUCCUUAACCCCCGCUACAGGCUGCACGUGUGAUGCGGCUCACUGGUGAACGGUGCAAUGAAUGUGGACCGGCCACACCGCAAAGUAAGACGGGACUCAAGUGUGAAGUAAUUAUCAAACAAUUUUGGAAAUCUUAAUGGUGAUGGAUCAGUGAGCAGGACCUGAGAAAUGCUCUGGUUCUGGAAAAGUGAAAGUAAGCAAGAGUCCUAAACUGAGGAGGUUUAUGUGCAAUUAACAUCAUUCACUGGAACAACUUUCCUUUGUUCUUCUGAUUAGACCAUUUCUCCAAAUCACUUCUGAGCCUGAACUGACCUCUAACAAAGACUAAACCUAAGCAGCAGAGACCUGCACUGGAAGCUUCUAUUGGUAUAACUUUUGACAGCUGCCAGCAGUGCACAAUUGGCUGUGUUUACUAGUGAUAGCCAGGAGUGUCACAUCACGAAGAGGCAGUGAAGCAUGGACAAAUAUCCCAUUGUCUCUUCACUGCUACCAGUUGUCUGUGUACCACUGAUGGUACCCAUACCACAGAUUGGGAACCAAUGAUCUAGCACAUGAACAGUGGUGGGGUUGCAAUGCCAGUAGUGAUUCUGAGGGGCCCAGUCUACCAGGCUAUGAAAUCAUUCUCUGAACACUGAACAACAGCAAGGUGCAACUUAAGCAGGGGCUGGAUGAAAUGCUGUUCGCAGGAGGAGGAGGAUAAGGGCAAAGCUUUUGAUUUUGAAGAACCAGACAAGAGCAAUUACAAGAGUCCCUAGAGACACUAUAUGGCUGGGGGAACCCUCACAGCCCCCCUGAAGAGUGUGCCAUUGUACUGCAGCAUACUGCACUCAUAUCUCUGUGGACUUGGCUAGAUAUAGAUUGUAUAGCUGCAGAAACUCUCCCCUGAUAUGUUCUCAUGCUUCCAAGUGCUCAGGCAUCAUGGAAGAGGAAACAGCCCAAGUUAAAAGCAAGUUGUUAAUAAGUAGGGUGGGGAACAGAGCCAGAGAUUAAUGGGGGAAGUGUGGAAGGUAGUACUUGGGACAGAUUAGAGGGCAGGGAUAAUGCAGUAUGCAAUGCCAAACUUACUAGAAAUAGUAAGGCAAAAAGAAGGUUGAUACAUCACCAGACAAAAUCCUAGAGAAGACAUUUGUUCAAGGUGGCUUGAUGGCAUCCUACACCCCAUAUCCAGUGCACUUGAUACAUCAUCUGGAACAGAUGGUUAGUUUUCAACAACUCUUUCGCCAGGCCAUUUUUUAAAUCUGCUUAGGUUAUUAACCUGUACUUUUGUUGGUUUAGUUUUUAAUAUGCUGAUAAAGGUCCUUUAGAAUGACUCUCUUCCUUUUGCCUUAGGGCUGCCCAGACAAGACUUGUUUGGGGAGCCUGUUAUCCAGGAAUCUCAGAAUGUGGCCAAGGCAAGUUUCCCUUCUCA